rnacentral:tRNA from 1 species
AUUGGUUUAAGUUAAUAAAACUGCUGAUCUUCAAAAUCAAUAUUAUAAAUAAUUUUAUAACCUCUA